rnacentral:rRNA from 1 species
CCUACGGGAGGCAGCAGUGGGGAAUAUUGGGCAAUGGGCGCAAGCCUGACCCAGCAACGCCGCGUGAAGGAAGAAGGCUUUCGGGUUGUAAACUUCUGGUCUCAGGGACGAAGCAAGUGACGGUAGCAGAGGAAUAAGCGACGGCUCACGACGGGCCAGCAGCCGCGGGAAUACGUAGGUGGCAAGCGUUAUCCGGAUUUCCUGGGUGUAACGGGCGUGUAGGCGGGAAAGCAAGGCAGAUGUGAAAACCAGGGGCUCCACCGGUGGCCUGCAUUUGAAACGGUUUUGCUGGCGUACUGGGGCGGCAGCCGGACUUCCUCUUGUCGCGGUGACCUGCGUAGCUAUUAGGCGGCACCCCAGUGGCGACGGCGGUCUGCUGGACUGCAACUGACGCUGCGGCGC